GAACAGGUGUAUGGAGGUGGAAGUCGCUAGGGGCUAGGUCUGGAGAAUAGGGUGGGUGAGAAAGAAGUUCAUAGCCACAUUCGCGCACAGCGUCCAUGGCA